UCGAUUGAGUUUGAUCCUGGCUCAGGACGAACGCUGGCGGCGUGCUUAACACAUGCAAGUCGAACGGUGAUGAGGAGCUUGCUUCUCUGAUCAGUGGCGAACGGGUGAGUAACACGUGAGCAAUCUGCCCUUGACUCUGGGAUAAGCGUUGGAAACGACGUCUAAUACCGGAUACGACCUUUGGAGGCAUCUCUGGGGGUGGAAAGAAUUUUGGUCAAGGAUGAGCUCGCGGCCUAUCAGCUAGUUGGUGAGGUAAUGGCUCACCAAGGCGACGACGGGUAGCCGGCCUGAGAGGGUGACCGGCCACACUGGGACUGAGACACGGCCCAGACUCCUACGGGAGGCAGCAGUGGGGAAUAUUGCACAAUGGGCGAAAGCCUGAUGCAGCAACGCCGCGUGAGGGACGACGGCCUUCGGGUUGUAAACCUCUUUUAGUAGGGAAGAAGCGAAAGUGACGGUACCUGCAGAAAAAGCACCGGCUAACUACGUGCCAGCAGCCGCGGUAAUACGUAGGGUGCAAGCGUUGUCCGGAAUUAUUGGGCGUAAAGAGCUCGUAGGCGGUUUGUCGCGUCUGCUGUGAAAACCCGAGGCUCAACCUCGGGCCUGCAGUGGGUNCNGGCAGACUAGAGUGCGGUAGGGGAGAUUGGAAUUCCUGGUGUAGCGGUGGAAUGCGCAGAUAUCAGGAGGAACACCAAUGGCGAAGGCAGAUCUCUGG
rnacentral:rRNA from 1 species